rnacentral:lncRNA from 1 species
CUCAAAUUGCCCGGAUUCCUUUUUUUUUCCUUUUUUUUCUAUUUUCUUUCAUGUUGACUAAAGAUAGACCGUCAUCGCCAUAACUACUGCUUGUUGCCCGAUGCGUUUUUCGUUGUUCCUUCUACCCUUCCCUUCUUCUCUCUAUUUAAAUUUAAAUAUUAUAAAUUUUCAAAUGGUAGAAAUCAGAAUAUGGACCAAAUCGAAAGUCUUAGAUGGGCCAGAUAAUCUGGUUCACUAUAUGCAAAACAAAAUAGUAGAAAAAAGGAGGAAAAAAUCGUCACUGAAGAACUGCUUCUGGUGUUUGGGGAAAAAGGGAAGGCUAAAAGGGAGAGAGUGAGAGGAAGAAGAAGAUGAGAGCGAUGAAGAGAUGAAGAAAGAGUACACGGUGAAG